UACAGAGGAGCCAAGCGUUGUCCGGAUUGACUGGGCGUAAAGCGCACGCAGGCGGGUGCGCGCGGGGGGGGUGAAACCAGGUGGCUUAACUGCCUGUCGCCAUCCCAUACGGCACGCCUGGAGCCAUCCAGAGGUCGGUGGAAUUGCCGGUGUAGUGGUGAAAUGCGUAGAGAUCGGCAGGAACACCCAGGGGGAAACCAGCCGACUGGGGAUGUGCUGACGCUGAGGUGCGAGAGCGUGGGGAGCGAACCGG
rnacentral:rRNA from 1 species